CCAACAAAAUAAAUUAUUUUUUGCAUUUUGAUAUUUUGAUUUUUUUUAUUUACACCCUGUUCAUCUCUUUCUCUUCAAUUUUAGGUAUUUAGCAAUGGCUUCUUUAAUCACACUCUGGGAUGACACAACAUUCCUUUCAAAUCGUUAUUGGACUUUUUAAAUUCCGUAAUAAUUUAUAGAUUAAUCCAUCAUUCUUGCUAAACACUGAGAGAAUACCCAUAUACUAAGGGUAUAUUUAUAAGUAAAUUACACAUUUUUACAAGAUCGAAAAACUGGCGGUAAUCCACAUGGCUAUCCAGAUCUAUAAUAAAAAACACAUUACUUCUAUA
rnacentral:lncRNA from 1 species